rnacentral:lncRNA from 1 species
GAAAAUUAUUCCCAAACAAUCAUUCUACACACUAUACCUAUUUCUGAAAAAUAUUCUCUCGAGACUAUCCGCGCCCUAAAAGAAGGAAGGAAGGAAGACGGAGGCAGAGAAAAUAGCCGUGUGACUCCCUUUCGUAUGUCUCGACGUCUACGACUUUCAUCUCGACGUUUUUCUCUAUUUCACUUCCGGUCGCCGGAUUUUAAAGCUGAUUCUAAAGUUGAACGCGGCUUUAAGGGCCUCGUGUAUACACUCGAUCGGUCUGGCGCACAAAUACCAAGCUUGGAAUUUUACGAUCGCGUUUGUAGAGAAACUAUCGCUCCAUUUUCCACGUUCCUAUCGUUCUGACAUUUCGUUUCCUUCGUUCCUUUUUCGAACGUCCGUUUACGUUAUAUUUUCUCGUUUUGCCUUUCUUAUCCUAUGUCGUUCUUGUUUACUGAUCGUCUAGGCUCGUAAGGGAUGAGGAAUAGUUAGUUGGUAAAUUCACGGCCGUGACACACGAUCUCGAAACGGACCAUGCUUCCGUGCGAAAUGAAAUGGUGGAGUGUUGUUAAAUUAAGAGUGAGGUUAGGAUUUUCUAAAUGAUGUUAGGAACUAUAAUAUUAAAUAAAAAUGAUAAAGAAUAUAAGAAAUGUUAGACAUUCGGAUAAACACACAAUUCGAGAAGUGUCACCUAUUUUUCAAAACUUGUUUUGGUGAAUAAGACUUCGAAGACUUUUUUCAGCGUUUUUAAAGAGCACGCAUGAAACAUGUUGAUUGUAUAUCUAUUUUUUUCUCCUUUUGAAGAAACCAAAGUACUCUCGAGCUCAUUGUGCCCCGUGUUCUUUACGUACGAAUGCCUUCUAUUCUUCUCUCGACGUCCAUUGUCUGAUUUUUCUUCAAAAUAAAAAGCGCUAUUCAAAUCGCGAGGAAUAAAAAUUACAGAGAAAAAAACUUAACAACGUUGUAAUAUUUUAUCACGGUCAAAACAAUUUUACCUGUUUCUUCGAAUUAAUUUUUCGACGAGUAAUGAAGAUCGAUUAAUUUUAAUGACAUACCAUCGAGACACGUAUCUAAUAAUCAUAAUUUCACAUUGCAAAGCUGAAGGUAGAAGAGAGUGAUGUUAAAAAUGAUUAAUCGAUUAUUACUUUCUUUCUUGCAUCCUUCGCAGAAAUUAAUUAUGCAUUGCUAAAGUGAAUUGCCCAUAAGCAUGACGCUGCGUGAAACUUUUCAAUUUGUCAAAAAAUCGUCGCAAGAGGGAGCUUUGAUCGGUGGGCGAUUAUUAUUUCACUGUGAAAGGGCCUUUUCAUACAGAUACAUGGCGGGAUGUUCGCCGCGGCAAGAUUAUUCCGCGACUAAAGGAUAUUUCUGACCGAGAAUGUGCAAAACUAUGCUCGACAAGUCAUUUCUGCGCAGGGAGAGAAUAUUCGAAGAAACAUAUCGAGCGGAACAAUAACUCUUUUGUGUUGGGAUAUCCGCGUGUAAAAAUUCCCUUGCCUUUCCAUCAUUCGUUUCAUAUAGAAUUUAAUAUGAUGAAUCUGAUAGAAAGUGGUGAUUUUUAUUCUGUGAAAAAUAAAUUGAAUAUCAUUAGAAGAUA